rnacentral:lncRNA from 1 species
CAGCGCAGUACGUUUCUCCAGAGCUGCUCACGGAGAAGUCCGCCUGUAAGAGUUCAGACCUUUGGGCUCUUGGAUGCAUAAUAUACCAGCUUGUGGCAGGACUCCCACCAUUCCGAGCUGGAAACGAGUAUCUUAUAUUUCAGAAGAUCAUUAAGUUGGAAUAUGACUUUCCAGAAAAAUUCUUCCCUAAGGCAAGAGACCUCGUGGAGAAACUUUUGGUUUUAGAUGCCACAAAGCGGUUAGGCUGUGAGGAAAUGGAAGGAUACGGAC